UGGCUCAAUAGUUAGAGUAUACGGCUUACAAUCGUGAGUUUGAGAGUUCGAUUCUUCC
rnacentral:tRNA from 1 species